CAGCACGUCGUAGCGGCGGCCCAGGAUCAGCGCGGGAGCGUCGCCGAACGCGUCCACGAGCAGCCGGACGGCGGGGCGCAGCCGCUCGGGUCGCGGACGCCGCCGGACCUUCGCCUUCUGGCCUGCCAGGCUCCGCAGGUGCUCCUGCUCGGUCUCGUCCAGCCGGAGCACCCGGGCGAGCGCGUCGAGGACGGCAUCGGAGGCGUUCUGGCUCUGCCCCUGUUCGAGCCGCGCGUAGUACCCGGCGCUGACGCCCGCGAGCUGCGCCAGUUCCUCACGGCGCAGCCCGGGGACGCGCCGCCGCCCGCCGUAGUCGGGCAGCCCAAGCUCCGCCGGCCGCACCCGCGCGCGCCGCGUCCGGAGGAACUGGCCUAGUUCGGAGUUCUGCGCCAUGCCGUCCAGCAUGCCUCCCGAUUCCCGUUCCUGCCUGCACCUGCCAGGUGUAGGCACCGCGGGAAUGACCCCA
rnacentral:tRNA from 1 species